rnacentral:lncRNA from 1 species
UCAGUUUUCCUUGGCAUGUAUUGGCAUUUAGCACCACUUUCUGGAAAUUCGUUCUGACUUGUGCUCUGUUUCGGAUGACCUUUUGUGCAAAUGACCUGAUACGAGCUGGUUGAUGUGGUUUUCUGUGUUUGAAGUCUUCAUGAAAGUUAAAGAUGGUUCGAUUAUCUUUCCAAUGAGCUAUAGAAUGCUCUAAUCGAACUUCAUUUAAUAUGAUUUUUGUCUGUCCAAAGUCUGGUCCAGAAUCUGCCAAAUGUUUGUCUCUCUGUUUUGGAUGACCUUCUGUGUAAAUCACUUGAUAUGAACUGGUAGAUGAUGUUAUUAGG